rnacentral:rRNA from 1 species
UACGUAGGGUGCAAGCGUUAAUCGGAUUUACUGGGCGUAAAGCGUGUGUAGGUGGUUUGACAAGUCGGUUGUGAGAUCCCUGGGCUCAACCUGGGAACUGCUUCCGAGACUGUCCGACUAGAGUACGGUAGAGGGCGGUGGAAUUUCCGGUGUAGCGGUGAAAUGCGUAGAUAUCGGAAGGAACACCAAUGGCGAAGGCAGCCGCCUGGGCCUGUACUGACACUGAGACACGAAAGCGUGGGGAUCAAACAGG